rnacentral:lncRNA from 1 species
UUUUUUUUUCUUUUUUUUUUUUUUAAAGGUUUUAUUUAUUCAUGAGAGAGAGAGGCAUAGGCACAGGCAGAGGGAGAAGCAGGCCCCACGCAGGGAGCCCGACAUGGGACUCGAUCCCGGGACUACGGGGUCACGCCCUGGGCCAAGUCGGUGCUAAACUGCUGAGCCACCCGGGGAUUCCCCCCCCCUUUUUUUUUCAAUUCCUCGGUGUUGAGAAUGAAACAAACCCCUAAAAUGCUAUGGCAAAUUAAAAUAGGUCCUUCAUAAUAGCACUAGGCUCAUGACACUCAAUAGCUUGAGUAAAAGUGAGCCCGCAUUGAAAAACAACACACACAGUCAAGCCCUAUUUGGUUAGUGACAUUUAUUUCCCUGUCAGUUGUCAGAUUGAAGAGGGGCUUUUAAUUUAGUGGAAUAGACAAAGGGAAGGUUGAGAACCCUAGGGGGGUAAGCAGGGCUGGCUUUAUGAGAGUACAGCUGGUGCAGUAGCACAGAGAGCCCCUGCUCACAGGGGCCCUCACUUGGCUUAAUGUUUUAUAUUGUCAUCUUGAGAUUCUUAAUAAUUCUUGAGCAAGAAUUUUUUAUUUUGCACUGAAUCUCACAAAUUAUUUAGCUUGGUGCUAGGAACAAAGGCGGGAAGUGGUAUAGAAAUGACAUUAAUAAAACACCUCUAUGUCCAGCACAGGGCUAAAAGCUUAAAACAUGAUCUCAUUCAACAUGCCCUAGAAGGUAGGUAUCAUCAUUCACAUUUUACCAAAAAUGAAACAGGCCAGCAGAGACUAAGGGCUUACUUACUCAAGACUAUUAAUUUAGUAAUGGUAAAUCAAUUUGUCACAGUUCUCCAUAGAGAAGAAUUUGUUUUUGUUUUUGUUUUUUAAGAUUUUAUUUAUUUAUUCAUGAGAGACACAGAGAGAGAGAGGCAGAGACCCAGGCAGAGGGAGAAGCAGGCUCCAUGCAGGGAGCCCGACAGGGGACUCUAUCCCGGGACCCUGGGGUCACGCCCUGGGGCUGAAGGCGGCGCUAAACCGCUGAGCCACCUGGGCUACCCAUAGAGAAGAAUUUGUUAAUAAUGUUUCUUCCAUAUAGGAAUCACUCUCUCUGCCCAUUUUCCUUGGUGCUUCAAAUACCAGAUAACUUGAAGUAGGGAAAAUAAACAUCCCUUGCAUAUAUUAAGAUGCAUGAAAUACAGUUUAUACGAGCUGAUAUGUGUUUCUUUGUUGUGCAAUGAAUUAGGAAGUGAUUUUUUUUAUUCUAUAAAUCCCAUCCUCAGUUUUCAUUACCUAGUUCUAAUCUAGGAUAAUUUCAGGAAAUAAAUAUGUUGAGCCUAGAUCAUAACUGCCUACUUAAGGACCAAAUGAUAGAAUUGCAAGGCGAAAUAAACAUAUUGAAUUAAAUAAAAUUAUGGUUGAAACAAUAUUCACAUGAAGUAUGGGUUGGGGUCUCGGUGUGACUAGCAGAUGAAAAAAAAACCCUGGAUAUUUAUAAGCUUCAGUAGUCAAGACACCAUGAACUUAGGCACAUUGCAAGUGACAAGCAUGAGCACUGAUAUCAGUGGAGGGUGGGAAAGUUACCAGUGCCUGCUUCUCUCUUCCAAGCCAAAUUGGCCACAUAGGGCUCAGAGGAAGAACUCUAGACAAUGUUCAAGGGCUUCGACUUGAAAAGUGUGAAGGUGUUUGUGAGUGUCUUCAUUUUACGUUUGGUAGUUAGGUAGGUACGUAGAGGUUGACUCUGAGGUCAAAGGAACAAUUUGAAUUGGCAAAGGUACAAAGCGUUUGGUUUUGUAGGGUUCUGGGCCUAGUGCAGUGGUUCUCAACUGGGAUUGAUUUUGGUGCUAGGAGAUAUUUGGCAAUAUCUUGGUGAUACUUUUUGGUGGUCACAUCUGGGGACUGGCAUCUAGUGUGUAGAGGCCAGGGAUAUUGUUGAACAUCCUAAAAUGUGCAGGACAGCCUUUCACAGUAAAGAAUUAUCCAGCCCAAAGUGUCGGUUGGGCCAAGGUUGGGCACUUUGACCUAGUAGUAUCAUUGUUACCAUCCUGCUCCCAACUGUCUCCUCAGCUUCAGGUCCCCAGUUAUAGUGAAGAACCAAUCUUUGGAUAUGUGCUUUUAAUUAAAAAUAGACAUUUUUAGAGAAAGGAGAAGAUAAGAGAGGGAGAGAAGUAUUAUUUAAUUGCCCCUCAUUGUGGGAAUUUACAUUCUGAGGCUAAAAAAAUGAAUGCAUUUGCUAGAAAAGAGAUUUAAGAAAAAUAUCCACAUUUUUAUGGAGCUUGUGAGUUGCCCCUAAGGUGAAAAGCUGAUGAGUCAGAAAUAAUUUAUAAGUCUUAGAAGUUGAAACCAGAAAACACAGAAAGGCUUCAGUUGGUUGAAAGCAAACUAUAAUUAUGACUUGCUGUCAUACAAUGUGCAUGUCAUGCAGUAUUUACUUAACAACUUUUAUCCAAGGAUCUCAAACCCUUUGCACAAAAACUUUAAUCAUUAAGAAACCCUCUUCUCUCUCUGUCUCUCUUUGCACAUCCCAUUGCACACCAAAGCUGCAGCUUCAGAUUUUCUCCAUGUAACCUAAAAAUAUUUGCUUCAUACCAUGUGAUUGUGGCUAUGAGAAUGUGUAAGAGGCUACAGUUUUUCUAACAGUCAGCUUCUCUUUGCUUUGACCUUUCUUUGUGGUUCUGUAGAAUUCUAAUGAAAAGCCUGCAUAGUUGUUUUAGUAAUGCCAUUUAAAACACUCUCAGGUUGUGCUCAGUGGACCUUGCUUUGUCAUUUUGGAGAGAGAUGGGGAUCAAGGUGAUCACUAUGCAAGUGAUUUGGUCCCAGUUUGUAAAUAAAGUCUGCAAACUUCAGCCACUGUGGGAAAAAGAACUACUGGAUGUCAUAUAGAAAGUGCAAGCAGCUUGAAAUAUGUUUACUAUGUUAUAUUUAUAGGCACCCUUAAUGUAACAGUUUUUUUUUUUAAAGGAAACCCUUUUUCUGAUUGCAAAGGUAAUUCAUGAUUAUUAUGGAGAAUUGGGAAAAUAUAGAAAGGGGGUAAGGAGAAAAUAGAAAUAAUCCAUAAGAAUCCAUAAUUUGGGUGCUCAGAAAUAACCAUCCUUUAAUAGUCUUUUCAUAAAGCACAACUUAGAAAGAUAUUUUUUAAUUUAACAAAUAUAUUUCUGCAUCUAUUUAUUUACCAAACCACAAAAACCACUGUGAGAUGUAUUGUCAGAACAAAUGACAUAGAAAAACAUUAUACAUUUAUUUGCUUUUGAUAUUAAUUUGAAGGAAAUGAAUAAAUAUGGUCUCACCAUCAUCUUGGAGAUGUUAAUAAUUUCAGUUUAAUCAGUAACCUCCAUGUUCCUGGUUUGAGUUUAAUAUAAACUCAAAAACGAAAAUAAUAUUUAUAUGUUUAGGACUUACGUCUUAAAGUUGAUUCAAAGACUUCAUUAAAGUACCUAUUAAUC